rnacentral:misc_RNA from 1 species
GAAAUGCGAUAAGUAGUGUGAAUUGCAGAAUUCAGUGAAUCAUCGAAUCUUUGAACGCACAUUGUGCCCCUUGGUAUUCCAUGGGGCAUGCCUGUUCGAGCGUCAUUUGUACCCUCAAGCUCUGCUUGGUGUUGGGUGUUUGUCCCCGUCUCCGCGCGUGGACUCGCCCCAAAGUGAUUGGCGGCCCCCGCGUCGGCCACGAGCGCAGCAGAAACGCGAACUCGUGAGCCCGUCCGGGCGGCUCCCAGAAGCUACACCCACCCAGUUUGACCUCGGAUCAGGUAGGGAUACCCGCUGAACUUAAGC